AUACUGUUAAUGGGUGGGGCUUGGGCUACAUUUAGGCUCAUGACCGGAAAACUUGGCCCUUUUGGAUUGGCUGACUUAAAUAGAUAAUUGGUGAGCCUGAUAAUCUAGUAAAUGUUGCAAAGGCAGUAUAUUGUGUGUUUGAAUUGUGCAUGCAUAUCUAUAUUAUAAUAUUAUAAAUUAUAUAAUUAUAAAUAAAUUUUUAUCAAUAAACAAUCAUGACAGUUAGAUCUAGAGUGUUUGGUUCGCGAUUGGAAUCGGAAUCGGA
rnacentral:lncRNA from 1 species